UACAGGGGGGGCAAGCGUUGUUCGGAAUUACUGGGCGUAAAGGGCUCGUAGGUGGCCAACUAAGUCAGACGUGAAAUCCCUCAGCUUAACUGGGGAACUGCGUCUGAUACUGGAUGGCUUGAGUUUGGGAGAGGGAUGCGGAAUUCCAGGUGUAGCGGUGAAAUGCGUAGAUAUCAGGAGGAACACCUGUGGUGUAGACAGCUUACUGGACCAUUUCUGACGCUGAGACACGAAAGCGUGGGUAGCAAACAGG
rnacentral:rRNA from 1 species